AACUGCGAUAAGUAAUGUGAAUUGCAGAAUUCAGUGAAUCAUCGAGUCUUUGAACGCACAUUGCGCCCCCUGGCAUUCCGGGGGGCAUGCCUGUCCGAGCGUCAUUGCUGCCCUUCAAGCCCGGCUUGUGUGUUGGGUCGUCGUCCCCUCCGGGGGACGGGCCCGAAAGGCAGCGACGGCACCGCGUCCGGUCCUCGAGCGUAUGGGGCUUUGUCACCCGCUCGAUAAGGACCGGCCGGGCGCCAGCCGGCGUCUCCAACCUUUUUUUCUCAGGUUGACCUCGGAUCAGGUAGGGAUACCCGCUGAACUUAAGC
rnacentral:misc_RNA from 1 species